rnacentral:tRNA from 1 species
GAGGGUAUAGCUUAGUAGUAGAGAGCACACUUAGCAUGCAUGAAGUCCUGGGUUCAAUCCCCGGUACCUCCA